AGGGUUUGAUCCUGGCUCAGGACGAACGCUGGCGGCGUGCUUAACACAUGCAAGUCGAGCGAUGAAACACCUUCGGGUGUGAAUUAGCGGCGAACGGGUGAGGAACACGUGAAGAAUCUGCCUUCAACUCUGGGAUAACUCCGGGAAACCGGGGCUAAUACCGGAUAUGAGCCUUGAUCGCAUGAUCGGGGCUGGAAAGUUUUUCGGUUGAAGAUGACUUCGCGGCCUAUCAGCUUGUUGGUGAGGUAACGGCUCACCAAGGCUACGAUAGGUAGGGGGCCUGAGAGGGUGACCCCCCACACUGGUACUGAGACACGGACCAGACUCCUACGGGAGGCAGCAGUGAGGAAUAUUGGGCAAUGGAGGAAACUCUGAUCCAGCCAUACCGCGUGUGUGAAGAAGGCCCUAGGGUUGUAAAGCACUUUAAGUUGGGAAGAAAAGUUAUUGGCUAAUACCCAAUGACCGUGACAUUACCUUCAGAAUAAGGACCGGCUAAUUCCGUGCCAGCAGCCGCGGUAAUACGGAAGGUCCAAGCGUUAAUCGGAAUUACUGGGCGUAAAGCGCGCGUAGGUGGUUUAUUAAGUUGGAUGUGAAAUCCCCGGGCUCAACCUGGGAACUGCAUCCAAAACUGAUUCACUAGAGUACGAUAGAGGGAGGUAGAAUUCACAGUGUAGCGGUGGAAUGCGUAGAUAUUGUGAAGAAUACCAAUGGCGAAGGCAGCCUCCUGGAUCUGUACUGACACUGAGGUGCGAAAGCGUGGGUAGCGAACAGGAUUAGAUACCCUGGUAGUCCACGCCGUAAACGAUGUCAACUAGCUGUUGGGGAACUAUGUUCUUCAGUGGCGCAGCUAACGUAGUAAGUUGACCGCCUGGGGAGUACGGCCGCAAGGCUAAAACUCAAAUGAAUUGACGGGGACCCGCACAAGCGGUGGAGCAUGUGGUUUAAUUCGAUGCAACGCGAAAAACCUUACCUAUACUUGACAUACUUGGAAUGCUUUGUAAUGAAGCAGUGCCUUCGGGAGCCAAGAUACAGGUGCUGCAUGGCUGUCGUCAGCUCGUGUCGUGAGAUGUUCCGUUAAGUCGGAUAACGAGCGCAACCCUUACCCUUAUUUGCCAGCGAUUCGGUCGGGAACUAUAAGGGGACUGCCGGUGAUAAACCGGAGGAAGGUGAGGACGACGUCAAGUCAUCAUGGCCCUUACGUAUAGGGCUACACACGUGCUACAAUGGAGAAUACAGACGGACGCUAAGCCGCGAGGUGGUGCCAAUCCUAGAAAAUUCUUCGUAGUCCGGAUUGGAGUCUGCAACUCGACUCCAUGAAGUCGGAAUCGCUAGUAAUCGCGAAUCAGCAUGUCGCGGUGAAUACGUUCUCGGGUCUUGUACACACCGCCCGUCAUACCAUGGAAGUGGAUUGCACCAGAAGUAGAUAGUCUAACCUUCGGGAGGGCGUUUACCACGGUGUGCUUCAUGACUGGGGUAAAGUCGUAACAAGGUAACCGUA
rnacentral:rRNA from 1 species